GGGGAUAUAGCUCAGUUGGGAGAGCGCUUGCUUCGCAUGUAAGAGGUCAGGGGUUCGAAUCCCCUUAUCUCCACCA
rnacentral:tRNA from 2 species